rnacentral:misc_RNA from 1 species
GUAUUUAAAUUGCGUUAAAGCAACAUAUCGCAUUCUAAAGACAUGCAGGGUGUAUAAUAAAGACAUGAGAAUCGUCCCGAGAGACGUCCCACAUUGAGUUCACAGGUGUAAGUGGAUUAAGAGCUCAGGCGUGCACAUGCCCCGAGGGGCCAGCGACAACCUUUGCUUAUAAUUCGAUAAUGAUCCUUCCGCAGGUUCACCUACGGAAA